rnacentral:lncRNA from 1 species
UGGAUUUGCAUGCACGCAUAUUGCAUUCAUGUAUGUAUCGAUCACUGAAAGAAAUGUGUGACUCAGCUAAUAAUCCAUGUUAACCGUGCAACAAACAGGAGAUAGCUGGAAAAGAAUCAAGCACUGAAAGAAAGGGGUUAAGUGUUACACGGUUUCUAGCUGGUUUUGUUUAGCAAAAGGGGAAAAGUAGGUUUCGGUUGUGGUUAAAGCUAAAACCAAAAGUAGCAAUUUGCGGGCAACAAAACAGAAGAUUAGAUAAAGUAAUCAAUUUCAGUUUUGUUUUAUUUGGAUAAUUGGGGCAUCUAAAUAAGCCCAAUUUGUUAGACUAUGGCCUACAAAACCAGGCUUUUAGAAACAUCAAACAUAGGUGUUCAGUUUUAUAUGUUUACAGCAAGUAUAUUAGGAUUUAAGUUAAAGAUUGAAAGUAGCAUAGCGCAAAUGAGUUCAAUCCAAGCAAAAUAUCAAAUUAAUAUUUUUAUUAUAAAAACUAACACAUAACUUCAGUAGAUUAAUUGUGCAUCGACUCUUUCUCUAACUGAAAAGUAAUUAGCCUUAGACUAGAUUUGGACAUUCCUUUUUUUCUUUCGCUCCAGUUAAUUCAAUUUUUGUUAUCAUUCUGCCACCACGAGCCUUCUAAAAAUGGCUGCAAAUUGUCAACAGACCUAAUUUGCAACUUACUCAAUAAAGUUCAGCUUCAAAAUGCAAAGCUCAACCUUGUGAAUAAUGGCCAUUUAAUCUUUAAGGUCAAAAACCAAUAAUUUAGCAUAACUUUUUCGACCUUUCUAAUCAUGCCAGUCAUGAAAACUACCUGAUUUGCAUACUAAUUGUAAGCAGACAGAAGAAGAAGAAGAAGAAGAAGAAGAAAAGAACCCAAUAAUUGCGUAGAAAUAAAAGACUAGGUCAACAUGCAUCCAAGAUUAGAAACUUUCACAGCAAGAACAAUAAUUAACGACGAUAGUUAAACCGUCACAAAUGACUCCAAGAUUAGAAAACAAUUGGAUUGCAAGCACAGUUUAAAAAAAAAAAAAAAGAAUCGAGGCUUAAAAUUAGUAAGAAAGAUGAAAAUUUUUCCAAAAUUUUAAUCAAAGCUUUAAAUAGAAGCCCAAAAAAAAAAGAAGUUGAUAACUGAUCUUGAAUCACAAAAAAGCUAUAGAAUUACAACAGAUCCGACACGAUUUUUUAACGUAAUAUAGCAAAUAAUAAAUGAAAAAAAAGAAAUUGAAGGAAAAUAAUAAACUAAUUUACGAGAAAAUUAUAUAAAGAAGUGGAAAUUACAAAUUAGAGGUCACCUGCUCAGAUCGAAGAGACUCAUGGUUAGAGAGAGAGAGACUUGGAUUUUUCUUUGUUCAGGUGAAGACCUCAAAAAAGAAAAUUUAUAUGCCCCCAAUAUAUUUAUUCCUUGCGUAGCCUUUCCUCGCCUUAUUUAUUAGUGGCAUAACUAUAAAGACAGUGAGUGCGCCAAUAAGACUUGAUAUUUGACUCGUUUGUUAGGGAAUUAAAAGGUUACAUUACAAAGUCAGUUCUAGAAGACCCGUUUCAAUUCAAUCUCUGCUGAUCUUCAAACUCUUCAAAAUCUCAAUAGUCACACAAAGAAACAAACCCUCCCAAAAAUCAUGUCGGAUGGUAUCGCACGUAGAACGAAAAGCCUGGCGCAAAAAUCAUCCCCAUGUAUCAACAUUCUUCUCUUCUCUUCUCACUCUUUUUUUUAACUAUAUUAUAGUUUUUUUUUUGUGGUGAUUUUGAAGGGUUUUGUGGCUAAACUUGAGAUAAGGGCAGAUGGGAGUGUUGAUUUGAUGGUUUGGCAUUGUGUUAUCCCCGACAAAAAAGGGGUCAGUCUACAAAAAAAUUUCUUUUAAUCAAAGUUUGGACCUUUAAAGUUUUCUUAUGUUGUAUGUAAGCCUAGGAUUUACUUGCAUUGAAAUUUCUAUGGUUGUUUAUUAGUUAAUCACAAUUUUUUUAAAUGUUUCAGAUAGAAUGGGAAGGUGAGUACUUUCCACUGACACUCAACUUCCGGUGGGUUCCCUUUUUAAGUCUUUUACAAAAAUAUUACAAAAAAA